GCCGCCUCCUUCGCUCCCUCAGCGCGGGGCCAGCGGCCGGGGCGGAGGCCUGGGGGCGUCGCGGCGCCGGGAGGGCGGGCGGGCGGGCUUCGGAGCGCCGGGCGGCGCGCGGGCGGGCGGCGGGCGCCGGUCUAUAUGGCGGCGGCUCUGUCGGGCCUGGCUGUCCGGCUGUCGCGCUCGGCCGCCGCCCGCUCCUAUGGGGUCUUCUGCAAGGGGCUGACCCGCACGCUGCUCAUCUUCUUCGACCUGGCCUGGCGGUUGCGCAUCAACUUCCCCUACCUCUACAUCGUGGCUUCCAUGAUGCUCAACGUCCGCCUGCAGGUUAUGCCUACACCUUUUCAGUUACGUUGCCUGUGGAAUCAAAUAUCUUAGCCCCAGGUCACCUGGAUUCGUGUAACUAUUAAAAGAGAAGGCCUGAAAAAGGACAGUUGGAGAAGAUGACAUCAUGAAGUAAAUACUAACGUUGUGUGAUCUGAAGUUGGUUGAAUCCUCAGAUGUGGAAUCGCAGACACGGAGGAACCACGUAUAGGAAAGGCUGACUGUAAAGUUGUACUUGGAUUUUCGACUGUGCAGAGGGUCGAUGUCGCUAGCCCCUGAAAUGUUCAAGGGUCACCUGUAUUUGCAAACCAUGUAUCUGAUAAGGAUUAACGUCCAAAAUAUGUAAAGAACUCUUACAACUCAAUAACAAAAAACCCAAUCCAAAAAUUGGCAAAGGACCUGAAUAAACAUUUCUCCAAAGAAGAUAUUCCAAUGGUUCAUAUUGAGAUCCAUUGAAGGCCUUCCGCGAACUGACAGGCGUGUCCUGGGGCUCAGGGUGUGAGAGCACACAGCAUGAGGGACGGCGGCGGGCGUCUCAGCACCCGCCUCGCGGAAGAGAAGGGAGCGGGCAACGACUGGGAUGGACUGUUGUGCAGAGAACUGUUGUGUGAGAGAAAGCGGGAGGAGAGCCCUUGCCCACCAGCUGUCACCUCCAGGGUGAACAAGCCUGCCGGUGAUGCACAUGGAAAUUCACAAAACGAGGAGUUAUCCCUGGAAAUGAAAAAUGAUCUGAGUGAGGUCAGUCUCUUGCUUCACGAUGGCAACAAAGUGCUUCCAUGUUUGCAAGAAUCAAUAUGGAGAAAUUCAGCUUCAGCGGCUGCUCAGAGCGGGACUGAGGGUCUGCUCUUUGCUCCCACAGGAGAGCGUUUUGCUGGGGUGUCCUGUGGCGUCGGGGAAACUCGGGGGAGGGACUGGCGGGGAGGAGGGCCCAGGGCCACUGACAGCCACGGAGGACGGAGCCAGAGAGGAGAGCCUUGGGGGUCAGGACUACCAUGCGGUCAGAAGUGGUCAGAAAUGGGGAUUUCUGAGGAUGAACCACCAAGUGCUCUUCCGGAGAAGCUGGACUCUGAGUUGGAUCCCUCUUGCCUGCGUUCCGUCCUGUCUACACUGCUGCACGCACAUCCCCAAAUAUUCUUGAAUGAUGAGACAAAAUGUGUUCUCCCUGGCCAUUCAAAGCCCAUGUUUUCAGAGCAAAGAGUAGAAUAUGAGAAAAUGCUUUCACGUGUAAAAAGUAUGUCAGAUGACCUGCAGAUAACACUGGCGUUACUGGCUCUACAUGCUUCUGAAUUAGCAGAUCUGUUAUGCCGUAGUUAAGGUACAGGCAGAACAAUAAAAAUAGUGAGAUUAAUUUUAAAAGUUGUCCUAAAAUGAUUUCUUUUGUAUUAAGUCUGGAUGCACACGGUGCAGCCUUGAAGCUCCUGCUUUGGUUUGUACGACCAGACAGACUGAAAGUCAGUGGAAUUGAAAGCUCGUCGGAUACAGAAGGAAAUUUUUGAGUUUUAAAUUGUGCUCGAAAGACAUUCAGGGUUGGGAAGCCAUGUCAAGGAGAAUAUUGAUACAUCCCACAUAAACAGCAGAUUAGAAUUGAAAGAUUUAACAGGAAGGUUUUAAUUUACCUUCAACAUCUAUCCUAGUGUCCCAGAAACGGUCUCUCCAGGUUGUCUCUGACCAUCUAAUGGAAGUAGAUAUUUGUAAAAUCAACCCUGCUGUGCUUGCUCUGAGUCAGGCUGAGUUGUUGAUAAGCUGUUAUCACUUCUGCAUUUUGUAGAAUAAUUUGAGCAAAAUCUAAUUUCUUUUCUCACAUCCCUCUCCUUCCACUUGACAUGCAAUUUAAAUGGAGGCCCUAUGGUGAAAGUUGCAAUAUUAACCUUACCUUUAGAUAACCCUUUCUCAAACUAGGAACCCUAGCAGUGUUACUCAGAAUAAAAAAUGAGCUUGAGCCUAUCUGCUCCAGGGGCUCAGUUAUAGAAAGAAAUCAAGUGUUUCCCUUAGAGCAGGUUUCCAGUUUCUAGGAGUCGAGGUAUCUCUUACAGUAAGGUUUUUUUUUUCUGAGAUAAAUCAUUUUGUUGUGUGUCAAUAACUUUGAUAAAAGACACAUGAAGUUGUACAUUUUUAAGGAGUCCUAAAGUAAGGCUUAACCGUUUUCAGAAUUAUCGAUCAGUUUCUCUUGUGUGCUAAGUUACUAUGCCGUAUGCUAUUUUAGUGUUUUGGGGAAAUGAAAAAUAAAAGCUGUUGUUUAGUAUAAUAAAUGUCUUAUUUUACGCGUGUAAAUCUCAGUUCCCCUUGUCUUUGUUAUUAAUGCUGCCCUCCGAAUACACGAGUCUUUUAGCAAAAUGUUGUUUGCUAAUUUAGAAGAUUGGAAGCAGAGAGUGAAAAACAAAACGUGACGUUACAUUGGAACUCAACUCUCACUUUCCUUCCUGGAUGUAAUGAAAUAGUGUGUUGUGACCCGUGAGGAGGGGUUGCGCUCAUAGAGCCCCAAAGAAAGAGUCCUUGAGUGAACUAUUAAAGCCCAGCUUCGUGGACACUCCACCUCGGGAACUGUUUUCUUGGCAACACCUUCACCCUGCCCCCCCGCCCCCCACACACACCUUUUCUUUUUUGUUUUAAACUCAGUCUACUACUUUGAAAAGGGACUUUCCAUGACUCAUCAGCUGUUUUAUUUCUUUUGUAAAUUUCAAGUAUGUAAAUUUUCUACCAGUUGCAAAGAACAAAUACAGAAUUCCCUAUUUAGCAUUAACUACAUUAAUUUGAAAUGUUUUCAUAUAGUUAUAUCAGAACAAGGUGUGUUUUUUCUAAAAGCUUUGUGGAAAAGCUCACAAUAACUUUUUUCUUUAUAUUAAUUUUUUUAGUGCGCAUAUACUAUGUUGAAAUUUUUCCCUUUGGUGCUAUAUUGGUUCCAGUUCUGUCUGAAGGCGGCCUCUCCUGUGGAACAUUCUGGGGGUAGAGAGGUGAUGACAGAUACCGUGUACAAAGGUUCAUGACUGUGAAAGGCCUUCUAUGAACAUUUUUAUUUUUGAAGCAGUUAGAGAAAUAAGAUAUUCUUUUGACGUCUCCAUGAUUGAAUUAUAAAAGGGAUCGCUCAUUUGAAAUAUUUCAAGUUAUAUCAUUUUGGCAAUGGAAAGCUAAGAGACUCCUGUUUUAAAACUUCUGACGUUUGUACGCAUUUUCUUUUUUGCCUUUGUGGAUUCUGUGCUUAAAGAUUGAACAGCACAAUCACUUUAAAUUUAGAAACAGUGUAUAGUACAAAAUACUGGACUUGGUUAUUCACAUUUGGAAAUCAUAAAUUUUUUUUUUUAACAUUGGAAUGAAUGUUGCGGUCUUGAAGUGAUUAUGAA